UUCCUCUUACAGUGACAGAGUCCACCAGACUCCAGCUGAGAUGAUCAUCGGCCACGAAGGAACAGCCACAAUCAGCUGUACUCACAGUAUUGACAACUACAACUUAGUCCUCUGGUACAAAUUGUCAAAGGAUACAAAACUGCAGUUCCUCGGGUACCUGAUAGCAGCUCAAGCGGGAACGCCGGAGCCUGGCCUGGGUGUGAGGAUCGGGGGGAGAGCACACGCGGGAUACAACUGCACGUUAACCAUUGAAGGGCUGAGUGAGAGCAGCAGUGCAGAGUUCUUCUGUGCUGUCAGUCUGGGACACACUGCUGCAUGUCACUGCUCCUCAGUGCAAAAACCUCCUCAACAUAAGCUGCCUUUAUCUCUGUGCAACAGCUCUGUGCACCUGGAAUAACCCGCUCAGAACAGUGGUGGUUCUGAGAGCGAUGGGAGAUUAUUACGCAGAUAUUCAUCCCGUCUGCUGUGGCUGCUUCUCAUGUUAAAGUGCUCCAUUAAGCUUUCCCUUAAAACUGUAACUUGAAUUAUUAUUUUUUUUUAAUCAUCCCAGCAGGUGGAGCUGUAGCUACAUAGAUGCAGAACUAUGGGAUAUGAUGAGGGGAGGGGGCAUUAAUGAGAGUCUGCAGGGGUCUGUAGUUCAGUCGAGUUUCUGCAGCGUUCUGUGUUCAUUCAGAGAGGAGGACAACAUGCCAACAUUACUCUUUCUAUCAUCGAUCAUUGGUGUUUGUCUGGGUGUUGAGGUGAGGCAGACCCCUGCAGAGCUCCUGAUGAGUCCAGGAGACAAGGUGCAGCUGGUCUGCAGCCAUGAGCAGGCCGACUUCACCUUCAUGCAGUGGUACCAACAACCCCCCGGAGAGAGAGCUCUGAAACGCAUCGGACACUUGAACUUUGGCAACAAAGAAUACGAGGAGCCUUUCAAAGAACAUUUUAAAAUGUCUGGAGACCUGAGUGGAGACGAAGCGAAGAACGCGUCUCUGUUCAUAGACACGCUGAAGGCAGAGGAGCACAGUGCCGUGUAUUUCUGCGCUGCCAGCUACGCACACUGACUGCACAGACCCCCUGCUCACACAAAAACUACCGUUACUGUUGGGAGUCAUUCAAGUAAGAGCCAGAAUCAAUACAAUAAACAUGUUACUUUAGCACAUUUCUAUUUCUAAGUUCUAUUUUAUUUAAUUUUGUAUAUUCCAAUGUUA